rnacentral:tRNA from 1 species
AGCCCGGUGGUGUAGCGGACAAGCAUUGCGGGCUUUGGACCCGUAGACGGGAGUUCGAAUCUCCCCCGGGCUACCA